UCCAACGUAAACGGGCCGGCAGAACCUUGGAUAAGCGAAUAUCUUGGAUAAUAAGGAGAGAUUAAGGAAAAGACUAUUAUUAAACAUUAAAUUAGGUUAUGAUUUUACAAAUUAAGCACCAAAACAUCAUGUUCUACAACAAGUUUGACAGAAAAAGUAGUUCAACGCACAGUAAUAAUAUGUAGUAACUAGCUGUGCCCGGCCACGCGUUGCUGUGGCAAAGUGGUGGUGGUAUUGGUUAAAAGUUGUUGUGGAAUUUUUAUUUGACGUCAUUUGUAUUUUUUUAAUUAAUUUUAUUGUAACUUAUCUUUUUUAUUUAUUAUAUUUUAUUAUUUUGUUGUAUUAUUUUUAGUUUUAUUAUUAUAGUAUUUUAUUGUAUUAAUUUUUAGUGUUUUUAAUUAUUUUAGUGUUUUUUAUUUUUUUAUUGUAUUAUUUGUAUUUAUUUUAUUUUAUAUUCUUUUAUUAACACUGGGCUCAGUGGGUUGCUAGGAGACCAAAUGGGCAGAGCUUAGCCUUCUAAGUGGCAGCAAUUGGAUAAAAACAAUUAUUUCUCUCCCUCUAAUUAGGACUUUAUUUUUCUUUGCUUUUUGUUGUAUCAACCUAGAGGCGUGGAUGAUGGGUUGUGUUGUCAAAUUUCGAGGUUGGGGGGCUUGUAGUUUUGUUGUUUUGUGGGUCGCCGUGAUGCCAUCACUCUUUUAUAUAUAUAGAUUACUGUAAUAAUGCUACCGUAUGUAGUAAUUACUGUAUUUACGAAUUUAGCACCAAAAUAUCAUGAUGUAUGGAAAACAUUGACUACAAAAAUGUUUUUGUUUAAUCGUGCAGUCAUUAUUUGAAAGUACAGUAGAGUCUCGCUUAUCCAACGGUCUGGAUUAUCCAACACAUUUUUGUAGUCAAUGUUUUCAAUACAUCAUGAUAUUUUGGUGCUAAAUUCAUAAAUACAGUAGUUACAGUAGAGUCUCACUUAUCCAACGUAAAUGGGCCAGCAGAACGUUGGAUAAGCGAAUAUGUUGGAUAAUAAGGAGAGAUUAAGGAAAAGCCUAUUAAACAUUAAAUUAGAUUGUGAUUUUACAAAUUAAGAACCAAAACAUUAUGUUAUACAACAAAUUUGACAGAAAAAGUAGCUCGAUACACAGUAAUGCUAUGUAGUAAUUACUGUAUUUAUGAAUUUAGCACCAAAAUAUCACAAUGUAUUGAAAACAUUGACUACAAAAAUGUGUUGGAUAAUCCAGAACGUUGGAUAAGUGAGACUCUACUGUACUUCCUACCCUCUUACAGCUGUCUUCUUCAUUUAAAAAAUCAAUCAUUUUAAUAUUUAUAUUUAUAGUAGAUUAUAUUUUCAGGAUCCUAUGAAUAUCAUUGGAAUUCCUGUCAUUCUUGUCACAAACUUCCAUUUUUUCUUGUUGUUCCUACAUCUCCUUAAUAGUGAAUUGCUCUUAUUAAUGUAAAAAACCCAAUGAUUCCUGUUUAAUCGUGCAGGCAUUUUUUGAAAGUACAGUAGAGUCUCACUUAUCCAACACCCGCUUAUCCAAUGUUCUGAAUUAUCCAACACAUUUUUGUAGUCAAUGUUUUCAAUACAUCGUGAUAUUUUGGUGCUAAAUUCAUAAAUACAGUAAUUACAGUAGAGUCUUACUUAUCCAGCAUUCACUUAUCCAACGUUCUGGAUUAUCCAACACAUUUUUGUAGUCAAUGUUUUCAAUAUAUCGUGAUAUUUUGGUGCUAAAUUCAUAAAUACAGUAAUUACUACGUAGCAUUACUGCAUAUUGAACUACUUUUUCUGUCAAAUUUGUUGUAUAACAUGAUGUUUUGCUGCUUAAUUUGUAAAAUCAUAACCUAAUUUGAUGUUUAAUAGGCUUUUCCGUAAUCCCUCCUUAUUAUCCAAGAUAUUUGCAUAUCCAAGCUUCUGCUGGCCCAUUUAGCUUGGAUAAGUGAGACUCCUGUUUCAAGAUUCUCAAGUAUUUUGUUCCUUGUGGAUUCAAACCUUAUUUAAUUGACUUUGGACUUUGAUUUGCUAUUGCUUGCAUAUAAUCUUCAAUAAACAGCUUGCUUUGCUUAUAUUCUGGGGCUCCAGUGUGGUUUUGAGGUGCCUGCGUAGCCUAGGGGUGCAGCAUAGAUACUCUUUAGAGAAGAUGCAUUGUGUGUUGUGCAGAUGUGCAUUUGUUUACUAUGGCACCUUUGCCAUGAGACAGUGCAACUUGUGAAAUAGUUGUGUUUAUAUAUAUAUAUAUAUAUAUAUAUAUAUAUAUAUAUAUAUAUACCCUGUUUCCCCGAAAAUAAGACAUCCCCAGAAAAUAAGACCUAGUAGAGAUUUUGCUGAAUUGCUAAAUAUAAGGCCUCCCCUGAAAGUAAGACCUAGCAAGUUUGUGUUUGGAAUUAUGCUCGCCAAACAGAACACCAGAGCAUGCAGAAUUGGUAAAUGUACAUACCAUAGAUUGCUGUACAUGACAAUAAUGGUAGUAACAAGAAAUUCUUGAUAGGAUUCACAGUUUGUCUGGUUAUGCUGGUUUGUGAUGAUAUCUACUGUACAGUAUAUAAUAAAUGUUCAUUUCUUUUGUUCAACAAUAAAAGUGAAUUAUUCUUCAUGGAAAAUUAAGAAAUCCUCUGAAAAUAAGACCUAGCAAAUCUUUGGGAGCAAAAAUUAAUAUAAGACACUAUCUUAUUUUCGGGGAAACACGUUAUAUAUAUACACACACACACACACACACACUAGCUGUGCCCGGCCACGUGUUACUGUGGCAUUGUCCUAAGUGAGUUUUUGUUUGUGGGGGCAAGUAUGAACGUUGUAAUUAGUCACCUUGAUUAGCACUGAAUGGCCUUGCAGCUUCAAAGCAUAGUUGUUUCUUCCCAGGGGAAUCCUUUGUUGGGAGGUGUUAGCUGGCUCUGGUUGUUUCCUAUCUGGUAUUCCGCUGUUUUCAGAGUGUUUUCAGAGUUAUUUAAUGUCCAGAUUGUAGAGUUUUUUUAAUGCUGAUUACCAGGUUCUGUCCAUUUUGAUGGUUCCCAGGAACCCAAUAAUAAUAAUAGUAAUAAUGACUCGCUGUCGGCGUGCGGUAGCAAUUCAGACCCGGCCCACCUAGCUAACAUCACCAAGUUUCCCAGGGGGCCUCUGCACAUGUGUGGUUAGUAAUUUUUGGAUUUGGGGAGUUUUCUGUAAUUUGGACCUAAUUUUAUAGGGUUUUUUGAUUGGAUGACUGUGUCCUUUGUGGCCAAAUUUGGUGUGAUUUGGUCCAGUGGUUUUGUUGUUUACUCCAUGGGAUUUAUACACAUUACGCUUUUAUAUAUAUAGAUAUAUAGCCAGCGAUGAUGCUCAUUGAUGAAUGAUUAACACACCUGGUUAUGGAAUUAAGCCAACUGUUCAUAAAAGUCCGAUGGUGCAAUCGGGAUCCGUUCUUGGGACAUUGCGUUUCUUUUGCUGACGUUCACCUCAGAGGACAUUAUUGUAUUGUCGCAUUUUACAGCCUUUUGUUACAGUCCUUUCCCUGCUUUUUAAUGAGUGAGAAAGUAAACAAAUAGUAGUCAGGGAACAGUUUCCCUUGCAUUCCUUUAUAUUUGUUGACACGGCUUGUUUCAGGACACUGCGGGACUCGUGGCAGCUUAGUUACAGUGUUUAUUCACACACACAUGUAUUCUGUAAAGGAAAGCUCUUGGUACAUACAGAUUGGCGCAUAAAAACAGUUGUGUACAUUGAAUCUGAAUGCUCUUCGCAUGUAUAGAGGCAUGGGCAAACUUUGGUCCUCCGGGCGUUUUGGACUCCACCUCCCACCAUUCCUAACAGCCUCAGGCCCUUUCCUUUUGUACUGAGCAUGUUCAGACGCAGGACUCCAUUUUUUUAGCAGUUUGCAUCAGACCUUGGUGGAGCGGCUGAGGGUGAAAAGGAAAGGGCCUGAAGCUGUUAGGAAUGGUGGGAGUUGGAGUCCAAAACACCCGGAGGGCCAAAGCUUGCCAAUGACUGAUAUAGAGGAUAAAGGGACAUUUCAUUGGAAGGAGCGAGGGUCUUAUUUGGGCCUUUGUUUUCUCCCUCCCUGCAUCGUUACAUCCAGUUUGACCCCCUUCAUUUCCUGCAAGGAUUUGCUGCCGUAGAUCCAAGCCAAAAAGGAAAAACGUCGGCCUUCUAACGCUCGCAAAUACAGGGGAAAGAAGGAAACAGCUGGACAGUAAAGACACAACAUUACAAGGAUUGAAUGAGGAAACGUGCUUUUUUCACCAAGUCUUUUCUGCGUUUGUGCAGCAAACUCAUUUGCAAAGCAUAAUUCCAUCCCUUUUUGUUUACUCUCAGAACUAGAAGAGUAAAAUCCUCAAGUUGGAAGGGACCCCAAAGGGCAUAUAGUCUGAAAAACUCACAGCAACACAGUGAUUCCAACCAUGAAAGCCUUCAGCAAUUUAGUAUAUUUAUUUAUUUAUUUAUUUACAGUAUUUAUAUUCCGCCCUUCUUUCUCAUCCCGAAGGGGACUCAGGGCGGAUUACAAUGAACACAUAUACGGCAAACAUUCAAUGCCAACAGACAAACAACAUAUAUAGACAGACACAGAGGCAUUUAACAUUUUUCCAGCUUCACGAUUCUGGCCACAGGGGGAGCUGUUGCUUCACCGUCCACUAGUGGCUGUACUUCCUCAUUCCUUUCCUCGUGUUUUGCUGGCAGUUUUAUGAUGUUGUAAAUGAGUUAAAUUAGCCUCCCGCAUAAAGCGUACCUAAAUUUCCCCUAAUUGACAGAUGCAACUGUCUUUCAGGGCUGCAUAGGUCAACAGCAAGCCGGGGUAUUUAAUGGUCGGGGGCUUAAACCGACCCGGGCUUCGAACUCAUGACCUCUCGGUCAGUAGUGAUUUAUUGCAGCUGGUUAUUAGCCAGCUGCGCCACAGCCCGGCCCCAUUUGUCUCUCCACAAAAUAAUGAUGGAUGAUACGAACCAGGCAUGUCUUCAUACAGGGCAGAGUUAAACUAUGGAACUCACUUCCACAGGAUUGUAGAAUCCUAGAGUCCAUCUCCACUGUAGAAUUAAUCGAACAGUUUGCCAUGGCUCCACACUAUAUAAUUAGGGGAGUUGUAGUUUUACAAGGUAUUUAGCCUUAUUUGCUAAAUAGAACACUAAAGGUUUGGCGGCUCACCCAAUUACACUUGCACCACCAGCCCUCUGGCUAAAAAACCCUUCUAUGACACCAUAACACUGAAUUAUGGUGGUUAGAGUGCUAUCAAACUGUAUCAAUUCUAUAGUAUAGAUGCACCCAAAGAUGCUCAAAAUAUAUGGCAAAAUUUCUUUUAGUGCUGCAGUGAGAACCCCCCCUCCAAAAUAGGCUUUGCGCUGACCACUGACCCACCACUCCUUCUUUGUAGUCUCUUGCCCCUAAAGGAAAUCCCAAGCUUCCUUCGUGGUCCUUGAAAUCCGAAAAACUCAGACGUAAAUGGGAACUGCCUUGUGUUUCCUUUCUUCCGAUCAGCGUCUGGGAAACGUAGUUUGGGGUCAGCUAAGACGCAACACUGGCCAAAGCUCAUCCUGGAUAGGAAGGGGAUUUUUUUUUUCAAAAAUAAAAGUUUCAACAAACUUUGUAAGGAAUCCAAAAGAUGCUCAGCCAGGUGAAUGUCCAUCACAUUUGAGAGAAUUGGACGAAAUGGAUGGUGAUCCCUAAUGGCUCAAGGCCAUGUGGAUGGUUAUUUUUCCUUCCGGUGCAAAGGAAAUGUCUGGUUUUUUCUUUUAAAUAAAAUACAGGUUGUUCCUGCUGACCUUUUAAAAUAAAAUUGUGCCAAAUAAGGACAUAUUAAUGCAUGGCACACGGAUGCAGCUUGAAAGAGUUCCAGUUCAGCCUAGGCGUUGGCCAAAGGUGCAUCUGCACUAUAAGCUUAAUGCAGUUUGACCAUGACUCAAGGCUAUGGGAUCCUGGAAUCUAGUUUGGUGAGGCACAAGCACUCUUUGGGAGAGAAAGCUAAAGAUCUUGUCAAUCUACAACUCCCAUGACUCUAUAGCUUUGACCCAUGGCAGGUAACGUGGUGCCUGCAUUCAUUCUACAGCAGUGGUUCUCAACCUGUGGGACCCCAGAUGUUUUGGCCUUCAACUCCCAGAAAUCUUAACAGCUGGUAAACUGGCUGGGAUUUCUGGGAGUUGUAGGACAAAACAUCUGGAGAUCCACAGGUUGAGAACCACUGUAGUGAAGGUGUCCUGUUUUGUCUUUCAAAAACAGCCUUCAAACAUUUUGGUAAGUAAAUUAAAACUGCUUUACUUCAACAAAACAUAAAGUACAGCACAUUCAGUGAAAUAAUGCAAAAGGAAGCAAGGAAGUCUUACGGCAAACACAGUUCUUACUCUCUGACAAAUUCCCAAAUCAAACAGUCUUACUUCAGACAAAAAAAAGCAAUAAAUUUUUAGGAGCAGUUUCCCAGAUGCAGACUUGAAGCAGGCACAAGGAGAGCGUAGGCAUUAGAGUCUAUUUGUUACCAGCAAGAGCUGGCUGCACCUACUUCUGCUUUAUAGCCCUGAGUCCCCUCACAGCUGCUAAGGCAGUUCCUAAUUACUCAGCUGCAUUUCUGGCAGCUAUUCUAACUGAACAACGUCUCUGCUCUGUUUCCUUUCGCCUCUCCUGAAAAGUGGGUACUUGCAAAAUCUCCUCCUCAGAUUCCAACUCACCCUCCGAUACAUGAACACAUUCCUGCUCCCCUUCCUCUUCUGAAGAAGAGGAAUCCCUAACGGAAGGUGCACCCAAAGUUGUUACCGAAAUCAAUUAUCUGCCACCAAGAGGCAGUGUAACAUGCCAUGCUUCUUUUAAAGCCAGGAAAAACAUGAGCUGGUUUGAAGGCAAUAGCAGAGGUUUAUUCAACCAUCCAGAUGGAUGACAGAACAGCGUAAUCAACAAAAGAGCUGACAAUUCAUACAGAAAAGUGCAGCAUAUUUUAUAAAGUUUGGCAUCUAUUAAAACCUCCCACUCCCUUCCCUGGUUGGUCAGGAGAAGCACUUCCCAGGAUCCGCCUUCUCAUUGGCUGAGACUUCCUCCUGAUAUCACAGACCAGGGCGGAGAGGAAGAGAGAACAGCUGGGAUUGGUGGGGUUCAGAAUUAAAGGUUUGUUGUGCCCAACUUGGGUGUGGGCCCCAUUGUCCAGACUGGAAAGAAUGGGUAUUUAGCACUAAUGUACUUUGGAAGCUUGGAAUAAUCUCUACACAAAGAAUGAGGCUUGAGAAACUGAAAAAGUCAAUCUAAAUCCUUGAGGAGUCAUGGGUCCUGGAAGUUAAUGGCAAUCAAUUUCUUAGCAGGGAACUAACUGGAAGAAUCUGUAUUGUUUCCCAAGAUGGUCACAUAGUCCAAAGUCAUAUAAGCACUACAUAAUAAAUUACAAUCUUGGGCUGUUCUGUUGUACAGCAGGGGCUCAGUUGUAGAAACAGAAUAUAUUUCAGAGCUGGCAAUUUGAUUACGCAAAGUUUUACAACAGUGAAGAAGUUAGGAAAAAAGAAAAGAGACACCCAGUGGACAGAGAGAAAGAGCCAAGUCUGUUUUGUUAACUAAAUAAAUGUAUGAUUGUGUGUGCAUAGGUGUGUGGAGGUGGAGAUGUUUCUUGUGGUGAUCAUUUCUUAGGCUUGGUAAAUGAUUAGAUUAAUCCUCCCAGGAAUGUUUGGGGCUGGGCUGGGGCUGAGUUUAGCUUAGACCUAGCCAAGGUGGUAUUAUUAUUAUUAUUAUUGACACAACGACGUUGUAUGACACAGCAAACAAGAUAGAUAUGCUGGAUUUCGUUUCACAAAAUCACAAGUCGAACACUUUAUUAUUAUUAUUAUUAUUAUUAUUAUUAUUAUUAUUAUUAUUAUUAUUAUUUACAUCCUGCUUUAUCUCUCCCGAAGGAGUCUCAAAGCAGUUUAACAUAAAAACAUUAACAUACAAAUUAUUAUUAUAUGUUGUUAUUAUUAGAGGAACGGGGUGGAUUUCUUGAUAAGAAAGUGACUCAAUCUGAGGCUCAGUUUCUUAUUUAUAAGACAGAUAAAUAAUAACAUCCCAUUGUGGGCUAUUGGGAGGAAGCUAAUUGAGGGGAAUAAAUAGUAGUUGUAGUUUUAUCAUAGAACCAGGUGAACUGAAGAUUUAAUAUUGUGCUUAGACCUGGUUCCCAUCUCCUGUAUAAGGACCUAUAUGCAAACACAGAUAUUUCAACAUCCAGACAAGUCCAAGACUUUAUGUAUUUUGAUUUUAAGGGUUAUGGAAUCCUGGGAGUUGUAGUUUGGUAAGGCACAAGGACUCUUUGGCAGAGAAUGCUACAGAUUUUACAAAAUUAUUAAUUAGUAAUAUUGAACUUUUUAGCCUAGAUUUUAAAUUUUGUCAAUGAUUUAGUUUUAUAGGAGUUUUAUUAAUUGUGAAGUAUAUAACCUCUCGGAUUUCAUAUGGAUGUACGGGACUGGGUGCCCUUGAUAUGAGCUGGUCAUUGACCAUAAUAAAAGUUUACAUUACAUUACAUUACAAAACUACAACUCAGAUAAUGAGAGUCAGAUGAAAUCAAUCUUUUCCUUCCUCUGAAAAUGUAGAUUUGUUCAUCCGCCUUUAAUGGACUUCUUGUGACCAAGAAAAUUGGAUGCCUCUUUGGGCCUAUUAAAGACCAAGUCAUGGGGGUCUUUCUCUGUCCAUCCCCUUCUAGUCCAAUAAUUAAAUAUAUUCUUUGAGUUCUCCAGCAUUUUUUUGUAGUUUCUGGAGGCCAAGUUUGAGGAACGUCUUGGAGAAAAUGGCAAACCUUGCGAACUUCAACUUCUUUUUCCUGGUGAUUAUACUCGCUCUAGCUGCCGCGAUCUGUAAGUAUUAUUAUUAUUAUUAUUAUUAUUAUUAUUAUUAUUAUUAUUAUUAUUAUCCUUUUUUCAUCUUGCAGUAUGAAUAAAUCUUCCUUGAAAUCACUGUUUUUUAAAAGAGCUUUGGAAAAGUUGCUUUUUUGAUUGCAACACCCAAAAUUCCCCAAAUAGCAACUGGAGGCUGUAGUACAAAAAUAUCUUGGUCAGGUUCUGCUUCUGUCAAUCUUCUGCAUGGCUUUUGAUUAAUUUAACCCUAUCUACACUGCCAUAUUAUUCAGUUUCUGAAUCUAGAUUAUCUGUUUUGAACUGUGUUGUAUGGCAUUGUAAUCUUUAUAUAUAAAAAUGUGUAUGUUUAUGCAACAGAACCCUAAAAGGAGUUGUCAAUUAACUUGUAAUUUUGACACAAACAUUGCAUUUCAAUAUGUGAUCUAACUUGUUGAUUUCAUCUCAGAUUAUGUAAGACAACUACCUUCAGGAAAAUUAGUUUAUAGCAACCCGACAACAGGAAAAAGAUAAUGUUUCAGUGGAAUUGAUGCUUUGUUUGUGUGUCCUAUGGCAGGCCUGGGCAUGUGCGAGGAACAGUGGGGUUGCGCCAACUUCCGAGGUUUCUGCCGCAAAGUGUGUUUCCCGCAGGAGAAGUCCCUGGGGCCUCAGGACUGCGGCGAAGACCUGGUCUGCUGCACAUCAGCUGCGAUGAAAUAAUGAUUUCGGAGACUGUAAUGGAGAGAAUGGAGAGAAUCUCUGGAUCCAGAGGAAUCUGUUUAAUCCGCCGAAAAACAAGGAGAACAAAUGAUGUUGGCAUUGUUGCAUCAGCCAAUAAAAUUAAAAGAUUUUU